rnacentral:tRNA from 1 species
UUUAGUAUAGGUUCAUAUCCUAUUGGACGCA